UACCAGACUCCUACGGGAGGCAGCAGUGGGGGAUAUUGCACAAUGGGGGAAACCCUGAUGCAGCGACGCCGCGUGGGUGAAGGAGCGUUUCGGCGCGUAAAGCCCUAUCGGCAGGGAAGAAGAUGACGGUACCUGACCAAGAAGCCCCGGCUAACUACGUGCCAGCAGCCGCGGUAAUACGUAGGGGGCAAGCGUUAUCCGGAUUCACUGGGUGUAAAGGGAGCGUAGACGGCAGAGCAAGUCUGAAGUGAAAGCCCGCGGCCCAACUGCGGGGCUGCUUUGGAAACUGCCCGGCUAGAGUGCUGGAGAGGUAAGCGGAAUUCCUAGUGUAGCGGUGAAAUGCGUAGAUAUUAGGAGGAACACCAGUGGCGAAGGCGGCUUACUGGACAGUAACUGACGUUGAGGCGCGAAAGUGUGGGGAGCAAACAGGAUUAGAUACCCCAGUAA
rnacentral:rRNA from 1 species